UACGGAGGGUGCGAACGUUAAUCGGAAUCACUGGGCGUAAAGCGCGCGUAGGCGGCUUGCUAAGUGGGAUGUGAAAUCCCCGGGCUUAACCUGGGAAUUGCAUUUCAAACUGGCCGACUAGAGUACGGUAGAGGGAGGUAGAAUUUCCUGUGUAGCGGUGAAAUGCGUAGAUAUAGGAAGGAAUACCAGUGGCGAAGGCGGCCUCCUGGAUCGAUACUGACGCUGAGGCGCGAAAGCGUGGGGAGCAAACAGG
rnacentral:rRNA from 1 species